GGUAGGGGAGCGUUCUGUAAGCCUGCGAAGGUGGCCUGUGAGGGCUGCUGGAGGUAUCAGAAGUGCGAAUGCUGACAUAAGUAACGAUAAAGCGGGUGAAAAGCCCGCUCGCCGGAAGACCAAGGGUUCCUGUCCAACGUUAAUCGGGGCAGGGUGAGUCGACCCCUAAGGCGAGGCCGAAAGGCGUAGUCGAUGGGAAACAGGUUAAUAUUCCUGUACUUGGUGUUACUGCGAAGGGGGGACGGAGAAGGCUAUGUUAGCCGGGCGACGGUUGUCCCGGUUUAAGCAUGUAGGCGGAGGUUCCAGGUAAAUCCGGUACCUUUUAACGCUGAGGUGUGAUGACGAGGCACUACGGUGCUGAAGUAACAAAUGCCCUGCUUCCAGGAAAAGCCUCUAAGCAUCAGGUAACAUUAAAUCGUACCCCAAACCGACACAGGUGGUCAGGUAGAGAAUACCAAGGCGCUUGAGAGAACUCGGGUGAAGGAACUAGGCAAAAUGGUGCCGUAACUUCGGGAGAAGGCACGCUGGUGUGUAGGUGAAGUCCCUGCGGACGGAGCUGAGACCAGUCGAAGAUACCAGCUGGCUGCAACUGUUUAUUAAAAACACAGCACUGUGCAAACACGAAAGUGGACGUAUACGGUGUGACGCCUGCCCGGUGCCGGAAGGUUAAUUGAUGGGGUUAUCCGUAAGGAGAAGCUCUUGAUCGAAGCCCCGGUAAACGGCGGCCGUAACUAUAACGGUCCUAAGGUAGCGAAAUUCCUUGUCGGGUAAGUUCCGACCUGCACGAAUGGCGUAAUGAUGGCCAGGCUGUCUCCACCCGAGACUCAGUGAAAUUGAACUCGCUGUGAAGAUGCAGUGUACCCGCGGCAAGACGGAAAGACCCCGUGAACCUUUACUAUAGCUUGACACUGAACAUUGAGCCUUGAUGUGUAGGAUAGGUGGGAGGCUUUGAAGCGUGGACGCCAGUCUGCGUGGAGCCAACCUUGAAAUACCACCCUUUAAUGUUUGAUGUUCUAACGUAGGCCCCUGACCGGGGUUGCGGACAGUGUCUGGUGGGUAGUUUGACUGGGGCGGUCUCCUCCCAAAGAGUAACGGAGGAGCACGAAGGUUAGCUAAUCCUGGUCGGACAUCAGGAGGUUAGUGCAAUGGCAUAAGCUAGCUUGACUGCGAGCGUGACGGCGCGAGCAGGUGCGAAAGCAGGUCAUAGUGAUCCGGUGGUUCUGAAUGGAAGGGCCAUCGCUCAACGGAUAAAAGGUACUCCGGGGAUAACAGGCUGAUACCGCCCAAGAGUUCAUAUCGACGGCGGUGUUUGGCACCUCGAUGUCGGCUCAUCACAUCCUGGGGCUGAAGUAGGUCCCAAGGGUAUGGCUGUUCGCCAUUUAAAGUGGUACGCGAGCUGGGUUUAGAACGUCGUGAGACAGUUCGGUCCCUAUCUGCCGUGGGCGCUGGAGAAUUGAGGGGGGCUGCUCCUAGUACGAGAGGACCGGAGUGGACGCAUCACUGGUGUUCGGGUUGUCAUGCCAAUGGCACUGCCCGGUAGCUAAAUGCGGAAGAGAUAAGUGCUGAAAGCAUCUAAGCACGAAACUUGCCCCG
rnacentral:rRNA from 1 species